GUGAGGAAUAUUGGACAAUGGAUGGAAAUCUGAUCCAGCCAUGCCGCGUGCGGGAAGAAGGUCCUAUGGAUUGUAAACCGCUUUUGUACGGGAACAAUAAGAGCCACGUGUGGCUCGAUGAGUGUACCGUAGGAAUAAGCAUCGGCUAACUCCGUGCCAGCAGCCGCGGUAAUACGGAGGAUGCAAGCGUUAUCCGGAUUUAUUGGGUUUAAAGGGUGCGUAGGUGGGCUGUCAAGUCCGUGGUGAAAAGUUCGCGCUUAACGCGGAUCGUGCCAUGGAAACUGGUGGCCUUGAAUAGGGGUGCCGUUGGCGGAAUGUGAAGUGUAGCGGUGAAAUGCUUAGAUAUCACACAGAACACCGAUUGCGUAGGCAGCUUACUGGAGCGCAACUGACGCUGAGGCACGAAAGCGUGGGGAUCGAACAGGAUUAGAUACCCUAGUAGUCC
rnacentral:rRNA from 1 species